UAUCCUACAACAACUCAAUUUUAUUUAAAAUUGCUCAACGGCUUCAACAGCAUUGUUUUGUCCGUGGAGAACAACAAAUUAUAGCAGCAGCUGGCGAGACUAAAAGGUCGUACCCAGUGCAAAGGCUCCUGCUUUACGCAGGGUCUGGGAGAGGUGAAUGUCGGCUAGCCUUACCCCCAUUUUAUGGAGAGGCUGCUCCCAAGUCUCGAACCCGAGACCUACCGCUCAUGGGCGAAGGCACUUGCCAUCGCACCAAGUGCGACCUCUUGCAGCUGGCGAGACUGCAAGAGGAAAAUCUGAAUGGCACUCUACCUUGUUUAAUCAGAAUUAGACACUCUUCAGUUGCAUAAUUACUAAAAACAUCAAUAUUACAGACGCCCCGCCACGUACAAUUUGGUCAGGUACCUGAAAGCUGCGGGAAGGAGUAUAACGAUCUACAUUGUUUCUGUUAUCUUGAAAUAAUUUCCUGGAACAUC
rnacentral:lncRNA from 1 species